AGUGAACGCUGGCGGUAGGCCUAACACAUGCAAGUCGAACGGCAGCACAGUAAGAGCUUGCUCUUACGGGUGGCGAGUGGCGGACGGGUGAGGAAUACAUCGGAAUCUACUUUUUCGUGGGGGAUAACGUAGGGAAACUUACGCUAAUACCGCAUACGACCUACGGGUGAAAGCAGGGGAUCUUCGGACCUUGCGCGAUUGAAUGAGCCGAUGUCGGAUUAGCUAGUUGGCGGGGUAAAGGCCCACAAAGGCGACGAUCCGUAGCUGGUCUGAGAGGAUGAUCAGCCACACUGGAACUGAGACACGGUCCAGACUCCUACGGGAGGAAGCAGUGGGGAAUAUUGGACAAUGGGCGAAAGCCUGAUCCAGCCAUACCGCGUGGGUGAAGAAGGCCUUCGGGUUGUAAAGCCCUUUUGUUGGGAAAGAAAAGCAGCAGGUUAAUACCCCGCUGUUCUGACGGUACCCAAAGAAUAAGCACCGGCUAACUUCGUG
rnacentral:rRNA from 1 species